UUUGCGGAGAGUUUGAUCCUGGCUCAGGAUGAACGCUGGCGGCGUGCCUAAUACAUGCAAGUCGAACGAAGAAGUUCCGGUGCUUGCACUGGAGCUUUUAGUGGCGGACGGGUGAGUAACGCGUUGGUGACCUGCCCUAAAGAAGGGGAUAACCUCGGGAAACUGAGGCUAAUACCCUAUGCACCUCAUUUGCUUAGAUGCUUAUGAAGUAAAGGUUCUGCGGACGAAAGGCUGCAGCGCCACUUUAGGAGGGGCCUGCGUCCCAUCAGCUAGUUGGUAGGGUAAUGGCCUACCAAGGCGAUGACGGGUAGGGGACCUGAGAGGGUGACCCCCCACACUAGCACUG
rnacentral:rRNA from 1 species